rnacentral:lncRNA from 10 species
GUGGCGCAAUCUUGGCUCACCGCAAUCUCCACCUCCCUGUUUCAAGCGAUUCUCCGGCCUCAGUCUCCCGAGUAGCUGGGACUACAGGCACAUGCCACCACGCCCAGCUAAUUUUUGUAUUUCUUUUUUUAAUAGAGACGGGGUUUCAUUAUAUUAUUCAGGCUGGUCUAGAACUCCUGACCUCAGGUGAUCCAUCUGCCUUGACCUCCCAAAGUGCUGGGAUUACAGGUGUGAGCCACCACACCCGGCCUGGCUUCUUUCACUUAACAUAAUGUCUUCAAGGUCAUCCGUGUUGUAGCAUAUGAAGGUAGCUGUCAAUUAUGAGCAGCCUAUGGAGAGGCCUACACUAUGAGAAACGGAGGUCUUUGGAAGUCCUGAGUGGAGAAAAACUGAUGCUUCCUGCCAAUUACUAGAUAAACUAACAUUUACAUAAAAGUCACACAGUCUCAGAAGAUGGAUGCACAAGCAAUGUCCAGUGUCAACACCAUCUUCCUGAGAGACCGCAAUAAAGAAAGGAGAAUCCCUAGCCAAAGAAGGUAGUUGAGGGUAACAGUUUCUCACUACUACAGGGAAUACAGGGGAUAGUGACAGAGUCAUUCUGAGAAUCUCUUGGCAACAAGGAGCUUGUCACUUUCGAGACCAAAGGGAAGAGGGAAGAGGACAGUAACAGUUCCCGCCCUUCCUCAGAUGCCCGUAUACAGGAACAGCACUAGUAACUUCAUAUAAAAUGCUGUGCAGUCGUUGAGUUGGACCAGUCAACUUGCAUUUAAUGCCCAUUGACUUUAAUUGCUUGACUGCAAACUCUGAUGAACAAAGAAAUAAUAUAUUAUUCCACAUAGGCUUUACCUGGAACUAAGGGGUGGGUAAGGAGUGCGGAAGUGGUUCCUAAGGCCUUAGGAGGGCAUCGUCUCAGAAACCCGUGAAUCUUGACAAUUCUAGCAGUACAAAGAGAACGUCACAUUUCCCGUUAGCAAUUCAUUCCUGAGAAGGUGGUGUACAGUAGAUUCGUGAUAAUGCUUUUUGGCACGCUGAUAAAUAUGUUUUUACUUAAAAUUAUUUCUACUAAGAUUGCUAACACUGAUAUUAUCCCUUGAGAUUUUAUCUUCAGUUUCCUUUGCACAGUUGUCACUCUGAAGGCUCUGCUGUGUGGAGUCAGCGUGCGAGGCAUCUACAGCCUGCUGAUUCCUUAGACUCUUGCUGGUAUUCUUGUCUUGUUCCUGGAAGAUUUUCCUGCCAUGUUCAUGAGCUUGAAAACUUUUCAAAAGCUCAGGAUGUCAGUAAACUCGCCGUUUUCUGUUUCUAUUGCACUUAAUAUUCCUUUUCAUUUACUUCAUUGGAUUUCCACCAGAGGGCACAAUAAGCCUAGCUAAUCCACAGUUUAGAGCUAUUCAGUACACGAAGUGUAACUUUCUGGACUUGUUUACGGUGGUUCUAAUUUCAUUACUCCAAGGUGUUGUGGUUAAGAGUGGGGUGUCUGAGGCCAAACUGAGUUUGGAUCCCAGCUCUGCUAUUUGCUAGCUCUGUGAUCUUGGAGAAUUCCUUAAUUUCCUUUCUGAGUAAGUGUUCUUCUUGUAAAAUGAGCAUACCAAUCUUCCUUUUGGGCUGCUGCGAGGAUUACAUGAGUUUAGACACAUAUCCAAAGUACUUGGAAUAUGUCUGGCAUAUAAUAAAGCACUAAGGAUAAAUGAUCUCAAAUUUUAAGAAAAUGACAGUUUUACUUACCUGGGAGUUACUUGGAAAGCAUCAAAGAGUUGAAAGCUACUAAAUAGAGAGAGUGUUAGGCGUGUGGCAAGGGCUACUUAAUGUACAUCAUUUCUAUCCAAGAGAUAUAUGAGGAAGAAGUCUAUGUUCAUUUGCUCACUGAUUCAUCCCAAGUGCUAGAACAGUGCCUAACACAUGGUAGGUGCUCAAUAAAUAUGUUUUAAAUGAAUGGAAGAUAACUUUAUUAACUCAUGUAUACAGGUAAGAAAAAUGGAGACUCAGGAAGUUGAUAAAAGUUGCCCAGGGUCAUACAAGUAAGUGAAAUAUGUUGUACUUUCACCCAAAUCUAUCUAAUUGCAGACCAACUUUCUUUUGACAGGGUUGAAGAAAAUGAACUUUUGGUUGACUCUCAUAAGUGAACUGCCUGGCUGAGUUUUUCUGUUAGGAGUGAGACUGUAAGUCCUUCAGUAUAUGAUGAGCAGGCUGCUGACCAGCAGCUUCGGUGUCACCUGGAAACUUACCAGAAAUGGAAUCCCAUCCCAUGGCUAUUGCAUCAGAAUUGGCAUUUUAAUAAUGUCCCCAGGUAAUUUAUAUGCAUAUUAAGGUUGGGGAAACUCUGCUCUAGCCGAUAUGGUUAACUGUGGAAAACAAAUGAUUGAUUCCUAUCAACUAAUAAAUCACAUCACAUUGAGAAUGUUUCAAAAGCAAGAAAUUAGAAGGAAAUUUAUGCUGGGCACCAUAAAACUCCAAAAUAUUUUUUGGGGAGGGGUUGAGUGAAACUCUGAGAGAAUGUGUUAAAAAAUGAAACUGCAAAUGGAUGUGUUUAUUCUUUUUAGAGACUUAUACCCAUCAUGCCCAUUUAGAAGAAGUUUUUUCAAUUUUACAAAUUGAUUUCUUGCGUGGAUUUACUUGUAUGAAAGGUUUGAUUUCCCUUUAUUUAUGGGCUUACAUAGCCUGAAGUCAUUUUAUUGUCAUAUUAUCCUUACACUGUGCGUGAAUCAUCAAAAUGUUUUUCUUGAAUCCAAGGCGGAGGUGGGGAGCCAGGCUAAAAUGUAUGAGACUGUCAUUCUCUGUGACAGAUGUCUCAUGUCAAGUUAUAAAAUAUUUCUGUCUAUGAAAAGACAAAGAAAUCUGC